UGGGGAAUAGUCUAGUGGUAGGACAGCGGAUUCUGGAUCCGUCAGGGUAGGUUCGAAUCCUACUUCCCCAGCCA
rnacentral:tRNA from 1 species